UACGAGGGGGCGAGCGUUGUUCGGAAUUAUUGGGCGUAAAGGGUGCGUAGGCGGUUCCGCAAGUCCUGUGUGAAAUCUUCGGGCUCAACUCGAAGUCUGCACGGGAAACUGCGGGGCUUUGAGUGUGGGAGAGGUGAGUGGAAUUCCCGGUGUAGCGGUGAAAUGCGUAGAUAUCAGGAGGAACACCGGUGGUGUAACGGCUUUCUGGACCAUAACUGACGCUGAGGCACGAAAGCGUGGGUAGCAAACAGG
rnacentral:rRNA from 1 species